rnacentral:lncRNA from 1 species
CUGGUGCGGUUGUAUCGUGCUACUGUGGACAGAGAGAGAGGACACUGAGCUGGAGCCCAGGCCUGCCACACCCCUUCCUUCUCUGCCCGUGCUGCCCUGUGAGCUGUUGCUCCCUAAAUAAAUGGAGGAGGGUCUGGGCUCAGGCCCACGGACUCUAUCCUGGCUGCUCCUGGGGGAGAAGGAGAGCAGCACCUCACUCCGCUGCCUGCAGGAGCCUCUGGUAGUGAGGGCUGACUGUCCCUCCUCUCCUCUGAAGCCUCUGCCCACAAGCUGAACUACCUCACAGAUAGGAAACAGGAAGCUCAGAGAGGGCAGUGGACUUGCCCAAGGUUACCCAGCAAAUUAGUGGUAGAGCUGAGGCUUGAAUCCAAGACUCUUAGAGCUAGACAAGUUGAAAGGUCAACAUGAUUUUACCAAUGUCUUAGGAAGCAGUGGGGGAUGCACAGGGGGACAGAGUAUGAGUAACGAUUCUGCCGGCUUCAGGCAGGCCUGGGGCUGUGGGCUGAAAUUGACCCAGAUGCGUCAGGGGCUUGGAUCAGAUGAGAGAAGGUUUCCCAGAAGAGAUGGGUGGACUGAGACUCAGCGCUGGUAAGUGACUGGCCCAUGGUUGCUCAGUUACUCCACGGCAGAGCUAAGCUAGAACCCAGAUCUGGCUUCAAAGUCCAGUGCUUGCUCUCUUGCCCUCAGUGCCUCUCCUGCUCUCAGUGCAAACCCUUCCUGAGGCUGCCAGCCGGAUCUCUGAACAGCAGUAGGGAGCCAGCUUCAGACAUUCAAUGAACCACAGGGUCACGGGCAAGCACCAGGAAGGUCAGAUCUUUCGUAGGCUCUGUUCUGAGAGGGGUCCCCUUGCACGUUCUCCCAGAGCCCAUGUUCAAGCCCCAGCUUUGCAUUUGUUACAUAUGAUCAUGUCUGGUUUCCAGGGCUUGUGUUUGAUCACUCUCUGUGUCCUCAAACUCAACAAUGGGGCUAGGCACUCCAAAGUUUCCUAAUGCAUGUAUUGAGUGAGUAGCUCCAGUCUUGAGACCAGAUGGGGAAAUGGCAGGGAGGCCUUGCGAUGCCUCAGGAGAGUGAGGCCUCUGUCUUGGGUGGUAAUCAAGGAGAGCGUGGGUGGCCACCUGCCUGAGUAGCUGUAGGAGGGCUUUUUUCCCAGGUGAGGGCCUGGCCAUCUACCAAUCAGAGGCUUGACACUCAGCUGUGAUCGUUUCUCCUUCCCAUACCUUUCUAGCACUGACCCCAAAAGCCUCAAUCACACUCAACCUAGGACAGGAACAGGUGGUAAAGCACAAACUCGGGACCUUAGCUGGGGCUAGAAACAUGCCCUUGGGGCAGGUGUGGCCCAUGCUGGUGGCUCUUGCAGCCUACUAGCCUUCAUCAGGAGGGAGUGAGAUGGAGGCUCUAGUGUCUGGGCCAGUGUGUCAUCUCACUCUUGAGAGCCAAGCCUUUGCUGAAGUUCACUGUAAGACGCUCCCCUGGAGAGGCACGCACUGGAGUGAGGGAGCGCCCUAAGGCUUUGGUUGGACAUGCAUGCUUCCUGACCCUCCGAUGUGAGAAUGUGGGGUGUGGAGACAAGAGUGACUCCAUCUUGGAUGCUGAUAUAGUUUGGCUCUGUGUCCCCAUCCAAAUCUCACCUUUAAUUGUAAUCCCUAUAAUCCCCACGUGUUAAGGGCAGGACCAGGUGGAGGUAAUUGAAUCUUGGGGGCAGUUUCUCCCAUGCUGUUCUCGUGAUAAUGAGUGAGUCUCAUGAGAUCUGAUGGUUUUGUAAGUGUCUGGCAUUUCCCCUGCUUGUACUCAUUCUCUCUCCUACUGCCCCGUGAAGAGGUGCCUUCCGCCAUGAUUGUCUGUUUCUUGAGGCCUCUCCAGCCAUCUGGAACCGUGAGUCAAUUAAACCUCUUUUCUUUAUAAAUUAUCCGGCCUCAGGUAUUUCUUCAUAGCAAUGUGAGAAUGAACUAAUACAGAUGCUAAUCUGCCCUGUUGACUUCUGAUUAGCCCUGGUCCUGUGAAAACCUCCUGAUUCUCACUUUAUUUACUGUCUUUAGCGUAAGAACAUGUCAGCCUUGAUGUUAUUGCACAAAUUAUAGGUUAUGAUGCAUGUAGCAUUCUUGCCUGUUCUGGAGGGCUGCCUUUAAUUGUCUUGCAUAGAGCAUGUAUACCCUUUCCCUGUGAUAUAUAAGCCCUGGGUCUGGGGAGCAACAGUGUGGAGAUCUACCUGUUUUGCUGCUCUCCAAGACUACACUUCCAUCCUUAAGUUCCCCAAAUAAAUCACUCUGUACUGACAAAUUGGAUUUGUCUGCCUCACUUUGGUGAUAAGUUAAAAUGACAUCACAC